GAUGAACGCUGGCGGCGUGCCUAAUACAUGCAAGUCGAGCGAACGGACGAGAAGCUUGCUUCUCUGAUGUUAGCGGCGGACGGGUGAGUAACACGUGGAUAACCUACCUAUAAGACUGGGAUAACUUCGGGAAACCGGAGCUAAUACCGGAUAAUAUUUUGAACCGCAUGGUUCAAAAGUGAAAGACGGUCUUGCUGUCACUUAUAGAUGGAUCCGCGCUGCAUUAGCUAGUUGGUAAGGUAACGGCUUACCAAGGCAACGAUGCAUAGCCGACCUGAGAGGGUGAUCGGCCACACUGGAACUGAGACACGGUCCAGACUCCUACGGGAGGCAGCAGUAGGGAAUCUUCCGCAAUGGGCGAAAGCCUGACGGAGCAACGCCGCGUGAGUGAUGAAGGUCUUCGGAUCGUAAAACUCUGUUAUUUGGGAAGAACAUAUGUGUAAGUAACUGUGCACAUCUUGACGGUACCUAAUCAGAAAACCACGGCUAACUACGU
rnacentral:rRNA from 1 species